UACGGAGGGUGCGAGCGUUGUCCGGAAUCAUUGGGCGUAAAGGGCGCGUAGGUGGCCUGCUAAGCGUGCGGUGAAAGCUCGGGGCUCAACCCCGAGUCGGCCGUGCGAACUGGUGGGCUUGAGCACUGUAGAGGCAGGCGGAAUUCCUGGUGUAGCGGUGAAAUGCGUAGAUAUCGGGAGGAACACCGGUGGCGAAGGCGGCCUUCUGGGACAGCAACUGACGCUGAGACGCGAAAGCGUGGGGGAGCAAACAGG
rnacentral:rRNA from 1 species